rnacentral:rRNA from 1 species
UACGGAGGGUGCAAGCGUUGUUCGGAAUCAUUGGGCGUAAAGCGCGUGUAGGCGGCUUGGCAAGUCGGUUGUGAAAGCCCGGGGCCCAACCCCGGAAUUGCAUCUGAAACUGCCUCGCUAGAGUCCCGGAGAGGAAGGCAGAAUUCCCGGUGUAGGGGUGAAAUCCGUAGAUAUCGGGAGGAAUACCAGCGGCGAAGGCGGCCUUCUGGACGGUGACUGACGCUGAGACGCGAAAGCGUGGGGAGCAAACGGG